AGCAGCCGCGGUAAUUCCAGCUCCAAUAGCGUAUAUUAAAGUUGCUGCAGUUAAAAAGCUCGUAGUUGAAUUUCGGGACUGAUAUGUCGGUCGUGCCUCGGUACGUACUGGUAUUUUUGGUUUCUCCCUUCUGACGAACCUUGAUGUCAUUAAUUUGGUGUUAUGGGGAGUUAGGACUGUUACUUUGAAAAAAUUAGAGUGUUUAAAGCAGGCUUUAGCUUGAAUACAUUAGCAUGGAAUAAUGAAAUAGGACGUUCGAACCUAUUUUGUUGGUUUCUAGGAUCAACGUAAUGAUUAAUAGGGAUAGUUGGGGGCAUUAGUAUUCAAUUGUCAGAGGUGAAAUUCUUGGAUUUAUUGAAGACUAACUACUGCGAAAGCAUUUGCCAAGGAUGUUUUCAUUAAUCAAGAACGAAAGUUAGGGGAUCGAAGACGAUCAGAUACCGUCGUAGUCUUAACCAUAAACUAUGCCGACUAGGGAUCGGAUGAUGUUAAUUUUUUAAUGACUCA
rnacentral:rRNA from 1 species